rnacentral:rRNA from 1 species
CAAUAGCGUAUAUUUAAGUUGUUGCAGUUAAAAAGCUCGUAGUUGGAUUUCGGAUGGGAUUUGCCGGUCCGUCGUUACGAUGUGCACUGGCCAGUCCUAUCUUGUUGUCGGGGACUAGCUCCUUGGAUUCACUUCCUGGGACUAGGAGCUGACGAGGUUACUUUGAGUAAAUUAGAGUGUUCAAAGCAAGCCUACGCUCUGAAUACAUUAGCAUGGAAUAACACGAUAGGACCCUGGCUUAUCUUGUUGGUCUGUGAGACCAGAGUAAUGAUUAAGAGGGACAGUCGGGGACAUUCGUAUUUCAUUGUCAGAGGUGAAAUUCUUGGAUUUAUGAAAGACGAACUUCUGCGAAAGCAUUUGUCAAGGAUGUUUUCAUUAA